GCAAGUCGAACGGCGGCACGGGUGCUUGCACCUGGUGGCGAGUGGCGAACGGGUGAGUAAUACAUCGGAACGUACCUUAUCAUGGGGGCUAACGCAGCGAAAACGGUGCUAAUACCGCAUACGCCCCGAGGGGGAAAGCGGGGGAUCGAAAGACCUCGCGCGAUUAGAGCGGCCGGUGCUUGAUUAGCUUGUUGGUGGGGUAAAAGCCCACCAAGGCGACGAUCAGUAGCUGGUCUGAGAGGACGAUC
rnacentral:rRNA from 1 species